rnacentral:rRNA from 1 species
GUGGGGAAUCUUGCGCAAUGGGCGAAAGCCUGACGCAGCCAUGCCGCGUGAAUGAUGAAGGUCUUAGGAUUGUAAAAUUCUUUCACCGGGGACGAUAAUGACGGUACCCGGAGAAGAAGCCCCGGCUAACUUCGUGCCAGCAGCCGCGGUAAUACGAAGGGGGCUAGCGUUGCUCGGAAUUACUGGGCGUAAAGGGCGCGUAGGCGGACAGUUUAGUCAGAGGUGAAAGCCCAGGGCUCAACCUUGGAAUUGCCUUUGAUACUGGCUGUCUUGAGUACGGGAGAGGUGAGUGGAACUCCGAGUGUAGAGGUGAAAUUCGUAGAUAUUCGGAAGAACACCAGGGGCGAAGGCGACUCACUGGCCCGUUACUGACGCUGAGGCGCGAAAGCGUGGGGAGCAAACAGGAUUAGAAACCCGGGUAGUCC